rnacentral:lncRNA from 1 species
AUGGCAGAGGGAGAUUCUGACUCAAGGGGUUUUGGCGCAUCCUACUCGUUCCCGGGGUGGUCGAACCCCUUCUCCUCUCCUGCUUUCUGCCCCGUCCUGUUUUUUCCGAUGGAAGCCGAGGAUCCUGGAGUUUUGAUGGAGCCUCCGCCUGUUGGAUCCAGUCGAGUCACGGUGUGCACCUGCUCAGGAUUGUUGCCGAGUACCUGCUACUGCUCCUGGUUUCCUCGCGUCGCUCCUGCAGUUUCGUCCCACUUCCUGGUCCACGCCUGCAGGUCCGUCAUGCUGCAGUUCUCUGCUGGGUUCCACGCCUGCUGCUGCAGUUCUCUGCUGGGUCCCACGCCUGCUGCUGCAGUUCUCUGCUGGGUCCCACGCCUGCUGCUGCAGUUCUCUGCUGGGUCCCACGCCUGCUGCUGCAGUU